rnacentral:rRNA from 1 species
ACAUCCGUAGCUUGCUUUUCAAGUCUCAUGUGAAAUCUGGUCUCUUAAGGAUUGGGCGAGCAUGAGAUACUGUUAAGCUAGAGACCGGGAGACGUAAGAAGUACGAACGGGGUAGCGGUAAAAUGUGUUGAUCCCAUUUGGACUAACAACAGCGAAGGCAUCUUACGAGAACGGAUCUGACAGUGAGGGAUGAAGGCUAGGGGCGCAAAGUGGAUUAGAUACCCAUGUAGUCCUAGCAGUAAACACUGCACACUAAACAUUGGGGCCUCUUAGAGAGGUUUCAGUGCUGUAGCGAAGGCGGAGAGUGUGCUACCUGGGAAGUAUAGUCGCAAGGCCGAAACUUAAAGGAAUUGGCGGGGGAGCACAAGCC